rnacentral:rRNA from 1 species
AAAUUGAAGAGUUUGAUCAUGGCUCAGAUUGAACGCUGGCGGCAGGCCUAACACAUGCAAGUCGAACGGUAACAGGAAGCAGCUUGCUGCUUCGCUGACGAGUGGCGGACGGGUGAGUAAUGUCUGGGAAACUGCCUGAUGGAGGGGGAUAACUACUGGAAACGGUGGCUAAUACCGCAUAACGUCGCAAGACCAAAGAGGGGGACCUUCGGGCCUCUUGCCAUCAGAUGUCCCCAGAUGGGAUUAGCUUGUUGGUGAGGUAA